UACGUAGGGAGCAAGCGUUGUCCGGAAUCAUUGGGCGUAAAGCGCGCGUAGGCGGCCCUGUAAGUCCGUUGUGAAAGUCAAAGGCUCAACCUUUGAAAGCCGAUGGAUACUGCAGGGCUAGAGUCCGGAAGAGGCGAGUGGAAUUCCUGGUGUAGCGGUGGAAUGCGCAGAUAUCAGGAGGAACACCAAUGGCGAAGGCAGCUUGCUGGGCCGCACCUGACGCUGAGGUACGAAAGCGUGGGGAGCGAACAGG
rnacentral:rRNA from 1 species